rnacentral:misc_RNA from 1 species
UGUCAAACACAAAGCAGUGUGG